GAGGAAUAUUGGACAAUGGAUGGAAAUCUGAUCCAGCCAUGCCGCGUGCAGGAAGACGGCCCUAUGGGUUGUAAACUGCUUUUGUAUGGGAGCAAUAAGGACUACGUGUAGUUUGAUGAGAGUACCAUACGAAUAAGCAUCGGCUAACUCCGUGCCAGCAGCCGCGGUAAUACGGAGGAUGCGAGCGUUAUCCGGAUUUAUUGGGUUUAAAGGGUGCGUAGGCGGGCUUGUAAGUCAGUGGUGAAAUCUCUCAGCUUAACUGAGAAACUGUCAUUGAUACUGCAGGCCUAGAGUAUAGAUGACGUUGGCGGAAUAUGACAUGUAGUGGUGAAAUACUUAGAUAUGUCAUAGAACACCGAUUGCGAAGGCAGCUAACGAAACUAUAACUGACGCUGAGGCACGAAAGUGCGGGGAUCAAACA
rnacentral:rRNA from 1 species